rnacentral:rRNA from 1 species
UACGUAGGGUGCAAGCGUUGUCCGGAAUUAUUGGGCGUAAAGAGCUCGUAGGCGGUUCGUCGCGUCGGCUGUGAAAACCCGGAGCUCAACUCCGGGCCUGCAGUCGAUACGGGCGGACUUGAGUGUUGCAGGGGGAGACUGGAAUUCCAGGUGUAGCGGUGAAAUGCGUAGAUAUCUGGAGGAACACCGGUGGCGAAGGCGACAUCCUGGACCGGCAUUGACGCUGAGGCGCGAAAGCCAGGGGAGCAAAGCGGGG